AGGCUAUAGUUUGGGAUGAGUACCUGACAGGACCGUUUGGCCUGAUUGCACAGUAUUCGCUACUGAAGGAACAUGAAGUGGAAAAAAUGUUCACACUUAAGGGAAAUCGUUUGCCAGCAGCUGAUGUCAAGAAUAUUAUUUUCUUUGUGAGACCCAGGCUAGAAUUGAUGGAUAUAAUUGCUGAAAAUGUGCUCAGCGAAGACAGACGUGGCCCAGUGAGAGAUUUCCACAUUUUGUUUGUGCCACGACGUAGCUUGCUGUGCGAACAGCGGUUGAAGGAUCUGGGUGUUUUGGGAUCCUUUAUUCAUAGGGAGGAGUACAGCUUAGAUCUCAUUCCUUUCGAUGGGGAUCUCUUAUCCAUGGAAUCAGAGGGUGCGUUCAAAG